GACGAACGCUGGCGGCGUGCUUAACACAUGCAAGUCGAACGGAAAGGCCCUGCUUUUGUGGGGUGCUCGAGUGGCGAACGGGUGAGUAACACGUGAGUAACCUGCCCUUGACUUUGGGAUAACUUCAGGAAACUGGGGCUAAUACCGGAUAGGAGCUCCUGCUGCAUGGUGGGGGUUGGAAAGUUUCGGCGGUUGGGGAUGGACUCGCGGCUUAUCAGCUUGUUGGUGGGGUAGUGGCUUACCAAGGCUUUGACGGGUAGCCGGCCUGAGAGGGUGUCCGGCCACAUUGGGACUGAGAUACGGCCCAGACUCCUACGGGAGGCAGCAGUGGGGAAUAUUGCACAAUGGGCGGAAGCCUGAUGCAGCAACGCCGCGUGCGGGAUGACGGCCUUCGGGUUGUAACCCGCUUCCGCCUGUGACGAAGCGUGAGUGACGGUAAUGGGUAAAGAAGCACCGGCUAACUACGUG
rnacentral:rRNA from 1 species